rnacentral:rRNA from 1 species
GAUGAACGCUGGUGGCGUGCCUAAUACAUGCAAGUCGAGCGAACCACUUCGGUGGUGAGCGGCGAACGGGUGAGUAACACGCAGGUGAUCUGCCCAUCAGACGGGGACAACGAUUGGAAACGAUCGCUAAUACCGGAUAGGACGAAAGUUUAAAGGUGCUUCUGGCACCGCUGAUGGAUGAGCCUGCGGCGCAUUAGCUAGUUGGUAGGGUAAAGGCCUACCAAGGCGACGAUGCGUAGCCGACCUGAGAGGGUGAACGGCCACACUGGGACUGAGACACGGCCCAGACUCCUACGGGAGGCAGCAGUAGGGAAUCUUCGGCAAUGGGCGAAAGCCUGACCGAGCAACGCCGCGUGAAUGAUGAAGGCCUUCGGGUUGUAAAAUUCUGUUAUAAGGGAAGAACGACUUUAGUAGGAAAUGGCUAGAGUGUGACGGUACCUUAUGAGAAAGCCACGGCUAACUACGUGCCAGCAGCCGCGGUAA